CUAAACGAAAUAAUGCAUAAAGUAAAGGUGCAACAUAUUUGCACAAACCUGAUCAAAGUGGUCCAAAAAUUUAAUUUAAUAACUUUAAAUAUUUUUAAUCUCAAUCAUCCAAAAUUAUCAAUUGCUUCCUCAUUUAAUAGCAAGACAAAAUCGAUUAGCAAAUUCACGGCCAGAGGCGUCACCGUCACCGUCAUCAGGACUUCCGUCGCCAACGUUCCGUCUCCGGUUUACAUCCCAGAUGGAAAAUAGCGGUGUUUUUGCAAAAAAUGGAAUAACCGUCGAAACCAAAUCAGCAAAUAUCUAUUGCAAAAAUGCCCAAAAAUCUGACAUGUUGCAGUGUUCAGUUCAAUGCGCUCGAUCUGAGUCAGUAGGUGAAAAGGCUUCUUUCCUUCGAUUACUUCCCAAAAGCCGGUGUCUUGUGGCAGUAGAGGGGUAUGUCUGGUAGACUUGUUAUUUGUGAUCUCUUUGUUUUUUUAUCUUUAAUUGUCAAUCAAAUAUGAAAUUCUGAGUCCUGAAAUCAUUGUCAAGGGAUCUUUAUUAACCUCAAUUAUUUGAGCAAGUUCUCAGAUAUGAAAUUGUGAGAAAUAUGCAUAAAUAUCUUAAAUUUGUUUUUUGUAUGUUGGCCAUUUUUCAUGAUCGAUAUAACGGCCCUUUGGAAUUA